rnacentral:rRNA from 1 species
AUUGAACGCUGGCGGCAGGCCUAACACAUGCAAGUCGAGCGGAUGAGUGGAGCUUGCUCCAUGAUUCAGCGGCGGACGGGUGAGUAAUGCCUAGGAAUCUGCCUGGUAGUGGGGGACAACGUUUCGAAAGGAACGCUAAUACCGCAUACGUCCUACGGGAGAAAGCAGGGGACCUUCGGGCCUUGCGCUAUCAGAUGAGCCUAGGUCGGAUUAGCUAGUUGGUGAAGUAAGGGCUCACCAAGGCGACGAUCCGUAACUGGUCUGAGAGGAUGAUCAGUCACACUGGAACUGAGACACGGUCCAGACUCCUACGGGAGGCAGCAGUGGGGAAUAUUGGACAAUGGGCGAAAGCCUGAUCCAGCCAUGCCGCGUGUGUGAAGAAGGUCUUCGGAUUGUAAAGCACUUUAAGUUGGGAGGAAGGGCAGUAAGUUAAUACCUUGCUGUUUUGACGUUACCGACAGAAUAAGCACCGGCUAACUUCGUGCCAGCAGCCGCAGUAAAAC